rnacentral:rRNA from 1 species
GGGGGGGGGGGGGGGGGGGGCGGGGGCGGGCGGGGCGGGCGGGGGGGGGGGGCGGGCGCCGGGGGGCGGCGGCGGGCGGGGGGGUGCGGCCCGGGGAGCGGCCCGGCCGCGGGGGAUAACGUCCGGCAACGGGCGCUAAUCCCGCACCCGCCCGGAGGGCGAACGUGGGGGAUCCUCGGACCCCACGCUAUCAGAUGAGCCUCGGUCGGAUUAGCUAGUUGGUGGGGUAAAGGCCUACCAAGGCGACGAUCCGUAACUGGUCUGAGAGGAUGGCCAGUCACACUGGAACUGAGACACGGUCCAGACGCCUACGGGAGGCAGCAGUGGGGAAUAUUGGACAAUGGGCGAAAGCCUGAUCCAGCCAUGCCGCGUGUGUGAAGAAGGUCUUCGGAUUGUAAAGCACUUUAAGUUGGGAGGAAGGGCAGUAAGUUAAUACCUUGCUGUUUUGACGUUACCAACAGAAUAAGCACCGGCUAACUUCGUG